CAUGUAGGCGGUCUGUCAAGUCUGAUGUGAAAGCCCGGGGCUCAACCCCGGAAGUGCAUUGGAAACUGGCAGACUUGAGUACGGGAGAGGAAAGUGGAAUUUCGAGUGUAGGGGUGAAAUCCGUAGAUAUUCGAAGGAACACCAGUGGCGAAGGCGGCUUUCUGGACCGAUACUGACGCUGAGAUGCGAAAGCGUGGGGAGCGAACAGGAUUAGAUACCCUGGUAGUCC
rnacentral:rRNA from 1 species